rnacentral:SRP_RNA from 1 species
GCCAGGAGUGGUGGCGCAUGCCUGUAGUCCCAGCUACUCGGGAGGCUGAGGUGGGAGGAUCGCUUGAGCCCAGGAGUUCUGGGCUGUAGUGUGCUAUGCUGAUAGGGUGUCUGCACUAAGUUCGGCAUCAAUAUGGUGACCUCCCGGGAGCAGGGGACCACCAGGUUGCCUAAGGAGGGCUGAACCGGCCCAGGUCGGAAACGGAGCAGGUCAAAACCCCCGUGCUAAUCAGUAGUGGGAUCCCGCCUGUGAAUAGCCACUGCACUCCAGCCUGGGCAACAUAGCAAGACCCUGUCUCU